UACGAAGGGGGCUAGCGUUGUUCGGAAUCACUGGGCGUAAAGGGUGCGUAGGCGGACUACUAAGUCAGGGGUGAAAUCCCGGGGCUCAACCCCGGAACUGCCUUUGAUACUGAUAGUCCGCAGUCCGAUAGAGGUGGGUGGAAUUCCUAGUGUAGAGGUGAAAUUCGUAGAUAUUAGGAAGAACACCGGUGGCGAAGGCGGCCCACUGGAUCGGUACUGACGCUGAGGUGCGAAAGCGUGGGGAGCAAACAGG
rnacentral:rRNA from 1 species